rnacentral:miRNA from 1 species
CCCUGUGCCCGGCCCACUUCUG